rnacentral:rRNA from 1 species
AGUGAACGCUGGCGGUAGGCCUAACACAUGCAAGUCGAACGGCAGCACAGUAAGAGCUUGCUCUUACGGGUGGCGGGUGGCGGACGGGUGAGGAAUACAUCGGAAUCUACUUUUUCGUGGGGGAUAACGUAGGGAAACUUACGCUAAUACCGCAUACGACCUACGGGUGAAAGCAGGGGAUCUUCGGACCUUGCGCGAUUGAAUGAGCCGAUGUCGGAUUAGCUAGUUGGCGGGGUAAAGGCCCACCAAGGCGACGAUCCGUAGCUGGUCUGAGAGGAUGAUCAGCCACCCUGGAACUGAGAAACGGUCCAGACUCCGACGGGAGGCAGCAGUGGGGAAUAUUGGACAAUGGGCGCAAGCCUGAUCCAGCCAUACCGCGUGGGUGAAGAAGGCCUUCGGGUUGUAAAGCCCUUUUGUUGGGAAAGAAAAGCAGCAGGUUAAUACCCCGCUGUUCUGACGGUACCCAAAGAAUAAGCACCGGCUAACUUCGU